rnacentral:rRNA from 1 species
UACCCGCUGAACUUAAGCAUAUCAAUAAGCGGAGGAAAAGAAACUAACAAGGAUUCCCCUAUAACUGCGAGUGAAGCGGGAAAAGCUCAAAUUUAAAAUCUGGCAGUUCUGCUGUCCGAGUUGUAAUUUAGAGAAGUGUUACCUGCGCUGGACCGUACACAAGUUCCCUGGAAUGGGACGUCAAAGAGGGUGAGAAUCCCGUAUUUGGUACGGACUCCCAGUGCAUUAUGGUGCGCUCUCGAAGAGUCGAGUUGUUUGGGAAUGCAGCUCAAAAUGGGUGGUAAAUUCCAUCUAAAGCUAAAUAUUGGGGAGAGACCGAUAGCGAACAAGUACCGUGAGGGAAAGAUGAAAAGAACUUUGGAAAGAGAGUUAAACAGUACGUGAAAUUGCUGAAAGGGAAACGCUUGAAGUCAGUCGCGUUUUGCGGGAUUCAGCCUUGCUUUUGCUUGGUGUACUUCCUGUACAACGGGUCAACAUCAGUUUUAACCGGUGGAUAAGGAUGUAGGGAAUGUGGCAUCUUCGGAUGUGUUAUAGCCCUGCGUCGUAUACAUUGGUCGGGACUGAGGAACUCAGCACGCCGCAAGGCCGGGUUUUUAACCACGUUCGUGCUUAGGAUGUUGGCAUAAUGGCUUUAAUCGACCCGUCUUGAAACACGGACCAAGGAGUCUAACAUGCUUGCGAGUGUUUGGGUGUUAAACCCGAGCGCGUAAUGAAAGUGAAAGUUGAGAUCCCUGUCGUGGGGAGCAUCGACGCCCGGAGCAGACCUUUUGUGACGCAUCCGCGGUAGAGCACGUAUGUUGGGACCCGAAAGAUGGUGAACUAUGCCUGAAUAGGGUGAAGCCAG